GCAAGGCCUCAGCCCAGCAGUUGCCAAGCGUGUAGCCACUUUGGGCCCGUGGAGAGAGUCGCGCUGCGGAGCCCCCAGGGGGACCUGAGGUCACAAGAGCCUCGAUGCACCUGAGCGCGGAGCUGGGGGUCCCUGGAGCCGCUGUCCCCACCUGCGGCGCUGGAGCCCUGGAGUCUCCAUCGACUCCAUCCAGGAGGUGAGUGAGGGGCGGCAGUCGGAGGUCUUCCAGCGCUACCCUGACGGCAGCUUCGACCCCAACUGCUGCUUCAGCAUCUACC
rnacentral:lncRNA from 1 species